AUGAAGCAGCUUAUCCAUGCUUUCCGAUCUCUUGUCUUUUUUUUUUCUCCCUUUCUCCCUCCCUUGCUCUGUCUCUCAUUCAUUCCCUCUCCCAUCUUUUGGCCAUCGAGCCAGAUAAAUUUAAAUUUAUUGGGCUCCGAAUCUGUCCGAGUGGAGUUAAUCCAUGCAAAUCAGAAGCCCUGGCUGUCCAUGCUUGAUUCACAAAGAGGACUCAGCUACAGGAGGUCACUGGUUCCCAGCUGCUCCUCCCAUUAUAUUUUCUUCCCCCCCUUAUUGCAGAACUGCUAUAUGUAUACAGGGACUGAAAGGAUCCAAUUUACUGCAACUGCUGCCUGGCUUUUACUUACAACUUUGUUUGAAGGAACUUACCUUCCAUCUGUCUUUGCAAGAUGAAAAUUCUGUCCCAGAGGACCAAGAAAAAGAACGAUUAACAAGUAACAAGAGACAAGGGACACUUCUGGUCAGUGACUCUUGAAAAUCUGUCACGACCUUUGUGGAAAAGAAGAUGAGCUGGUAAAUCAUUGUAUUUUUUUUUUUUUAAUCAAAUGAUCAUAUCCUACUCCAGGGAUAUAUUUUUUUCCCAUAAGGAAAAACAAAUCCUCCUACUGUUUUUAUUUUUGUAAACCC
rnacentral:lncRNA from 1 species